GGACGCGUAGCUCAGUUGGUUAGAGCGACGAGCUUAUGCCUCGUAGGUCGGGAGUUCGACUCUCCCCGUGUCCA